GCAGGGGUGGCGCCCGGUGCGUCCACACUGGCUGCCCCAAGUUCCUCGCGCCGUGAUACCCUGGGGGCCCCCGGCUCUGCUCCCGCCUCCGAGUGGCCGCCCUACUCACCCAGAGGGCAACCCAGCUUCCGUGCCCGGCCUCCCGCAGCCGCAGUGCACAGAUUGUCCUACUAAGAGAAAAUGGGGAUACUUAGAGAAAUGAUUCAUUCCACAUCUGAAGUUGGAAAUUAAGAUGAUGAUCUUGGAAAAUCUUGUCAUAACACAAAGCACAGAAGUUAUGAAAGCCUACUGGAGUUGGGUCAGAAGGACUCAAAAGUCAACACAAAGAGCCUCUAACUUGCUAAAAGUGGGAAAAUUUCAUCAUCAACCAGCUAAAAACAUCAAUGGAUUAAAGCACAUCAGUGGUAAUCAAAUCAUUGAUGAAGGGAAGAAUCUCUUUUACAGAAGUAUUCCAGCUCAUAAAUGGAAAAGGAAUAAUAGAAUAUCACCCAGUUGUUAUUCCUAAUGAUUUAUGGAUGAAGCAAUGAUCAUAACUGGCCAAUAUAAUCCUAACAAAGACCACCAGACUUUGAAUCUUCUGGAUUGAAGUAAACACCACCAUCUCUGAAGUUGCUUUAUCUCUCCCAUACCCCACCUCAAAAGCAAGGCAAACAAAGCCCUUAAUCUGAUCAAGUCUCUACAUCUAAUGAAGAAUUUACAGGAGAUGACAGAGGAGGGAUAGCAUCACAAAGAUAAAAUCAAGCCUGUGGAAAACCCUACAGGCAAAUGACCUAGUCUCUUCAAUAAAAUAUUGCAUGGAAAAAAUUAGAUGGAUGGAGACCUAUAAGUAAAAGAGAAAUGAGACCUAUCAAUAAAUCACAAUAGGUAAAACUUAUUUGGAUCAAAAAGCAAAACCAAAACCACAUAAAAAUAUAUAUAAAACACAAAAACAUUAAGAUAAUCAGGGAAAUGCCAAUAGUGAUUGGAUCUUUGAUGAUAUUAUGCUAUUAAGGAAUUAAUUAUUCUUUAAAUUUAGGUGUGAUAAUGGUACUGUGGUUGUGGUUUUUUUAAAUGGAGUCUUCAUAUUUUAGAGACACAUGCUAACAUUUUUACAUCAAAUGAGAUAUGACGUUUGAGAUUUCUUCCAAAAUAAUCUGGGGAAGGGAGUAGGAAAGGGUAAGAUGGACAGGAUUGGCUCUCUGUGGAAAUUUGUUAAAGUGAUGAAUUCAUCGGGUUCAUUUUUCUGUUCUCUCUACCUUUGACACGUUUGAAAUUUUCACAAAUAAAAUGUUCUGCAAACUCAUGGCUAAAACUUGAAGAUUUCAAAGAAGUACAAGAAGAAGAUAUAAAUUAUCCAUAAUCCCACCCUGCAGAGAUAA